GUGAGGAAGAAGAGACCCAAACAAAAAAACACAGGGUGGAUUG
rnacentral:rRNA from 1 species